GCGCUCGACAUUUCAUACCCUGUUUAGGGUUAUGUACUUAUUUUUGUUCUUCCAUGUUAAUUUGAGUUUGUACUAUUUUACACAUUAAAAUAUGAAAUAUUUGGAUAUAAUUCGAAACACUUCGAUUUUAAACGUAUCUCAAAUAAUAUUUAAAAUUCUACCGCAAUAUUCUACAAAAAUUGACUUGGAAAAAUUAGAAUCAGAAAGUGCAACAUCUGUAGAUGUUCUUGAUGAAGAAGCAAAGAAGAAAGAAGCCAAUUUAGAACUUAAAAGAAAUAAAUCCCGUUUAAACCUACAACAUCGCAAUAUUCUUUUAAAUCAAAAACCUUAUAAUGAAAGCAUAUUUUGGACACAUGAUACGGUAAAGUAUGCAAGAAAAGUAUAUGGAAAGUAUGGCGAGAAUAGCAGAAUUGAUCCAUCUUUUUGUUGGCCUACUAAACAAGAACUACAAGAUACAUUGGAAUAUCAAAGAGUUGCUUAUCCUUUUACUGUUCUUGAAAUGAUGGAAAAAGCACAAAUAAGAAAAAAAGAAGAAAAUGAACGACUUUUAAAUAAGCAGAAAGAAAUUACGGAUAAAAUGGCUAAAUUGGAUCAGUGGAAGAAAGACCUACAUGAUAAAAUUAAGAAGAAAGAAGCUGAAGAACUUGCUGCAAGAGUGCAGAAAGAAAGAUUGAUAGAAGAAGUAAGAAGACACUUUGGAUAUGCAGUAGAUCCUAGAGAUGAAAAGUUUAAGGAAAUGGUUGAAAAAAAAGAAAAGGAACAAAAGAAAUUAAUGAAAGAAGCAAGACGAAAGGUGAAAGAAGAAAAAAUGCUUGCAAAAUUACUUAGCAAGAAAUCUGAAGAAAAGACAGAGACAAAUAAUGAAGAAAAACAAUUGAAUUAAGCUGAGCGAAAAUACUUUGUAUUUGUACUUUCAUUUUAGAAAAUAUUACUUUAUAUGUUACAUUUAAAAUACUUUGUUUAUACUGAAAGUGUUACAUAAAUCAAUAUCGAAUAUCCCACUAUAAUAGAAUGAAAAAUAUUUUUCAGUUAAAACAAUGUAACUAUAAAAAUCAGAUAUGUUUGAAAAGAAAUUCCAAAAUUUUCUAUUACAAUAACCAGGAGGGAUUAACUGGAAGUACUUUGUAUUCUUUUGAAUAAGUUACGAAAUUGUUAAUACAAGGUUUGUAAUUUAAAAUUGGGAAAAUAUAGAAGUUUACUGCA
rnacentral:misc_RNA from 1 species